rnacentral:rRNA from 1 species
GACGAACGCUGGCGGCGUGCUUAACACAUGCAAGUCGAACGAGAAUCUGCGGAACGAGGAUUCGUCCAAGUGAAGCAGAGGACAGUGGCGGACGGGUGAGUAAUGUCUGGGAAACUGCCUGAUGGAGGGGGAUAACUACUGGAAACGGUAGCUAAUACCGCAUAACGUCGCAAGACCAAAGAGGGGGACCUUCGGGCCUCUUGCCAUCGGAUGUGCCCAGAUGGGAUUAGCUAGUAGGUGGGGUAACGGCUCACCUAGGCGACGAUCCCUAGCUUGUCUUAGAGGAUGACCAGCCACACUGGAACUGAGACACGGUCCAGACUCCUACGGGAGGCAGCAGUGGGGAAUAUUGCACAAUGGGCGCAAGCCUGAUGCAGCCAUGUCGCGUGUAUGAAGAAGGCCGUCGGGUUGUAAAGUACUUUCAGCGGGGAGGAAGGGAGUAAAGUUAAUACCUUUGCUCAUUGACGUUACCCGCAGAAGAAGCACCGGCUAACUCCGUGCCAGCCGCCGCGGUAA